GGGUUGUGAGGUUAAGCGACUAAGCGUACACGGUGGAUGCCUAGGCAGUCAGAGGCGAUGAAGGGCGUGCUAAUCUGCGAAAAGCGUCGGUAAGGUGAUAUGAACCGUUACAACCGACGAUACCCGAAUGGGGAAACCCAGUGUGUUUCGACACAUUAUCAUUACAUGAAUACAUAGUGU
rnacentral:rRNA from 1 species